UGGCGGGCUUCGUGCGAGAAAUUAUUACCCAACCCCGUCAGGUCCGGAAGGAAGCAGCGGUAAGUAAUUUAUUUCUGUGUGCGUCCGGCUCACUGGUU
rnacentral:SRP_RNA from 1 species